CCUACGGGAGGCAGCAGUGGGGGAUAUUGCACAAUGGGGGAAACCCUGAUGCAGCGACGCCGCGUGGGUGAAGAAGUAUUUCGGUAUGUAAAGCCCUAUCAGCAGGGAAGAAAGAAGACGGUACCUGACUAAGAAGCCCCGGCUAACUACGUGCCAGCAGCCGCGGUAAUACGUAGGGGGCGAGCGUUAUCCGGAUUCACUGGGUGUAAAGGGAGCGUAGACGGCCGUGCAAGCCAGGAGUGAAAGCCCGGGGCCCAACCCCGGGACUGCUCUUGGAACUGGGCGGCUGGAGUGCGGGAGGGGCAGGCGGAAUUCCUGGUGUAGCGGUGAAAUGCGUAGAUAUCAGGAGGAACACCGGCGGCGAAGGCGGCCUGCUGGACCGCGACUGACGUUGAGGCUCGAAAGCGUGGGGAGCGAACAGGAUUAGAUACCCCGGUAGUC
rnacentral:rRNA from 1 species